GCCCGCUUGGCUCAACAGGCAGAGCAUCCGUCUUGUAAGCGGGAGGUUGCGAGUUCGAUUCUCGCGGCGGGCA
rnacentral:tRNA from 1 species